rnacentral:rRNA from 1 species
AGAGUUUGAUCCUGGCUCAGGACGAACGCUGGCGGCGUGCCUAACACAUGCAAGUCGAACGAGAAUCUUUGAACAGAACUUUUCGGAGUGACGUUCAAAGAGGAAAGUGGCGGACGGGCGAGUAACGCGUGAGUAACCUGCCCAUAAGAGGGGGAUAAUCCAUGGAAACGUGGACUAAUACCGCAUAUUGUAGUUAAGUUGCAUGACUUGAUUAUGAAAGAUUUAUCGCUUAUGGAUGGACUCGCGUCAGAUUAGAUAGUUGGUGAGGUAACGGCUCACCAAGUCAACGAUCUGUAGCCGAACUGAGAGGUUGAUCGGCCGCAUUGGGACUGAGACACGGCCCAGACUCCUACGGGAGGCAGCAGUGGGGAAUAUUGCGCAAUGGGGGCAACCCUGACGCAGCAACGCCGCGUGCAGGAAGAAGGUCUUCGGAUUGUAAACUGUUGUCGCAAGGGAAGAAGACAGUGACGGUACCUUGUGAGAAAGUCACGGCUAACUACGUGCCAGCAGCCGCGGUAAUACGUAGGUGACAAGCGUUGUCCGGAUUUACUGGGUGUAAAGGGCGCGUAGGCGGACUGUCAAGUCAGUCGUGAAAUACCGGGGCUUAACCCCGGGGCUGCGAUUGAAACUGACAGCCUUGAGUAUCGGAGAGGAAAGCGGAAUUCCUAGUGUAGCGGUGAAAUGCGUAGAUAUUAGGAGGAACACCAGUGGCGAAGGCGGCUUUCUGGACGACAACUGACGCUGAGGCGCGAAAGUGUGGGGAGCAAACAGGAUUAGAUACCCUGGUAGUCCACACCGUAAACGAUGAUUACUAGGUGUUGGAGGAUUGACCCCUUCAGUGCCGCAGUUAACACAAUAAGUAAUCCACCUGGGGAGUACGACCGCAAGGUUGAAACUCAAAGGAAUUGACGGGGGCCCGCACAAGCAGUGGAGUAUGUGGUUUAAUUCGAAGCAACGCGAAGAACCUUACCUGGGCUUGACAUCCCUGGAAUCGAGUAGAGAUACUUGAGUGCCUUCGGGAAUCAGGUGACAGGUGGUGCAUGGUUGUCGUCAGCUCGUGUCGUGAGAUGUUGGGUUAAGUCC